rnacentral:rRNA from 1 species
GAUGAACGCUGGCGGCGUGCCUAAUACAUGCAAGUCGAGCGAACAGACGAGGAGCUUGCUCCUCUGACGUUAGCGGCGGACGGGUGAGUAACACGUGGAUAACCUACCUAUAAGACUGGGAUAACUUCGGGAAACCGGAGCUAAUACCGGAUAAUAUAUUGAACCGCAUGGUUCAAUAGUGAAAGACGGUUUUGCUGUCACUUAUAGAUGGAUCCGCGCCGCAUUAGCUAGUUGGUAAGGUAACGGCUUACCAAGGCAACGAUGCGUAGCCGACCUGAGAGGGUGAUCGGCCACACUGGAACUUAGACACGGUCCAGACUCCUACGGGAGGCAGCAGUAGGGAAUCUUCCGCAAUGGGCGAAAGCCUGACGGAGCAACGCCGCGUGAGUGAUGAAGGUCUUCGGAUCGUAAAACUCUGUUAUUAGGGAAGAACAAAUGUGUAAGUAACUAUGCACGUCUUGACGGUACCUAAUCAGAAAGCCGCGGCUAACUACGUG